GUCAAAAUUGCCAUACUUUCAUGGUUUGCAAUCGGACGCUGAUGUGCUCUCCUUCUUGGCUGGUAGUUCUUCUCAUUGGUUGUACACAAAGACACAUAUAGAUGGCCAGUCAACAAUAUUGGAAAGUGAGGAUGAUACAGUCACGACAGGGAUUUGGGACAACUAAAUGUGAAGAAACCUUCAGACAUUGCUAAUUGAUGGAGUGAAAUUGGCAGGGCAGAGAUUUGGGGGAAGCUAAUUGUAAGUGCAUCUACCUAUGCGAUAUCUAUGUUUUUCUAGAAAUUAGUGAGUGGUUCACAGUGAAGUUACUAGAAAA